CUUAUUUUCCAUGAUUUUCUUUAAAUGCUGCCGUCGCCGAAAUGCAACUAUGGUACCGUAACGAUUUUAAACUGGAAUGUAACGAUCUUGAGAUGCGUUAUAUUCUUUUAAAUUUGUACUCAAAACAAUAUCAAAAGACUAUAUUUGGAAUAAAAUUGAUAAAUUAGACUCCUGCGAUGAUACAUUUUAACACAAAUCGUUUUAUUUUAAAUAAUUCAAAUGUCGCGUUUAAAAUGCUAUGCCUCCGUAACGGGCGUAUACUUUUAAAUAUACAUUAUACCAAUCAAAUAAAAAUUUUAAAAUAUUGUUUUGUAUUUCAUUAAAUGAAAAACACCAAAAUGAGAUGUCGUUUGCACAAAAAUGUGAUAAUUCUGACCCGUAGAAGUCGAAUUUCACUAUGUUUCCAUAACGACUACUUUCCGUAACAAAACGAUCAUCCGAAUUUGGGUACAGUAUACGGUUCAAUUGACGGUGUGACUUUUUUGCCUAUCACCGCUCCCAAUGAUACGUCACUAAGAGGUAUGCAUGUAACAUCUUAAUUGACUUUUAUGAUACAAUUAGGCAACUGGAGAAUGGUGCUUUUAAAAACAGAAAUACAGGAUACAAAGCAGAGAGGGGAAAACAACAAAUCAUUUAAAAGAGAAAGAAAGCAGAAAAAAUUAUGUUCCCAUUCAAAAAAGAAAAAGCACUGGUGAAGAAAAUGUAGAGGAAACUACAUAUGAAACGUUAUAACAUUACAACAAAUUUGUGUAAAUUAGGCAGAAAUAAAGCAAAUAAAAGUGAAAAAAAGAA